AUUGAACGCUGGCGGCAUGCCUUACACAUGCAAGUCGAACGGCAGCACGGGAGCAACCCUGGUGGCGAGUGGCGAACGGGUGAGUAAUAUAUCGGAACGUGCCCAGUCGUGGGGAUAACGUAGCGAAAGCUACGCUAAUACCGCAUACGAUCUAUGGAUGAAAGCGGGGGAUCGCAAGACCUCGCGCGAUUGGAGCGGCCGAUAUCAGAUUAGGUAGUUGGUGAGGUAAAGGCUCACCAAGCCGACGAUCUGUAGCUGGUCUGAGAGGACGACCAGCCACACUGGGACUGAGACACGGCCCAGACUCCUACGGAGGCAGCAGUGGGGAAUUUUUGGGACAAUGGGCGCAAGCCUGAUCCAGCAAUGCCGCGUGCAGGAUGAAGGCC
rnacentral:rRNA from 1 species